AUGACUAGGGAUAACCUUAGGAAGAGACACAUCAUCAAACCCCUUGAUUGUGUUUACUGCUUGGAACAAGAGUCUUGUUCUCACCUAUUUUUUGAAUGUAUAGUUGCUAAACAUCUCUGGGCCCACAUUGAGGAAUAUUUCUCUAGUCAGAUUGGCUCAUCCUUCGAAUCUGUCGCCAGAUUCUUGAUUGCUACCAAAAAGUGCUCAGUUUUAAACACUGUUAGCUCAGCUGUCCUUUGGUGCCUCUGGAAAUAUAGAAAUGCUAUGAUUUUCAGUAACACCUCCUGGAUUUCCAUUCCGCGGGUCUUGAGGUUGAUCAGGAACAUGGUGAGGAACUAGGCGAUUCUCUCCUCCGGAUCGGACAAGGACAAGUUGAUGAGCUUCAUGGAAACCCUAACAAGAUCCCUCCAGAAACCGUUGGCAAUCACUUGUGGCUGA
rnacentral:rRNA from 1 species